rnacentral:rRNA from 1 species
GCUUAACACAUGCAAGUCGAGCGAAGCAGUUAAGUUGACUUCUUCGGAUUGAUUCUUAACUGACUGAGCGGCGGACGGGUGAGUAACGCGUGGGUGACCUGCCCCAUACCGGGGGAUAACAGCUGGAAACGGCUGCUAAUACCGCAUAAGCGCACAGAGCUGCAUGGCUCGGUGUGAAAAACUCCGGUGGUAUGGGAUGGGCCCGCGUCUGAUUAGGCAGUUGGCGGGUAACGGCCCACCAAACCGACGAUCAGUAGCCGGCCUGAGAGGGCGACCGGCCACAUUGGGACUGAGACACGGCCCAAACUCCUACGGGAGGCAGCAGUGGGGAAUAUUGCACAAUGGGGGAAACCCUGAUGCAGCGACGCCGCGUGAGCGAAGAAGUAUUUCGGUAUGUAAAGCUCUAUCAGCAGGGAAGAUAAUGACGGUACCUGACUAAGAAGCCCCGGCUAACUACGUGCCAGCAGCCGCGGUAAUACGUACGGGGCAAGCGUUAUCCGGAUUUACUGGGUGUAAAGGGAGCGUAGACGGCAAGGCAAGUCUGAUGUGAAAACCCAGGGCUUAACCCUGGGACUGCAUUGGAAACUGUCUGGCUCGAGUGCCGGAGAGGUAAGCGGAAUUC